GGGGACACCUACCCGGUGGGACAUCAUUCACCCGCUGCUCGGCCAUCGCCACGCACACACACACAGCGCGGACUCCAUACUCGUAUUCCUCAACAUGAACCUCAAGGUUUGUCUGGUAGCAGCUGUGUUGGGCGUGGCCUCUGCCGGGCCCCUCCCCCAGCCUGACGACGCCCCUUCUGCCUACGGCCCGUACUCCGCCCCACAUCCUGAGGAACCCUCGUACGAGCCCCCUUCUUCCUACCCUGCCCGCUACCAGGAGGAACCCUCGUACGCCCCCCACCCACAGACCUACGAGGAGGAUCCACCCAAGCCAUACGCCUUUGAAUACGGCGUGAACGACGGCUACUCCGGCGCCAACUACGGCCACAACGAAAACUCUGACGGGCAGGAGGUGGUCGGGUCCUACCAGGUGGACCUCCCCGACGGCCGCACCCAGAUUGUCUCCUACAAGGCCGACCACUACAAUGGCUUCCAGGCCCAAGUCGAGUACAAGGGUGAGGCCCAGUACCCCGAAACUCAAGAAUACCAGCCAGGAUACCCAGCACCAUCAUACCCCGCCCCAGCACCAUCAUACCCCGCCCCAUCACCUUCAUACUCACCCCAAGAGCCAGUCUAUGAUGCCCCAGUUCAGUCAUACCCUGAGGAGCCAGCUCCAGUCGAGUAUAACUAAAGGGGUAUGCGACUCGCCACUCCGAUAUACCCACAUUAAAAGGACCCGUCUAUAAAGUUCCUACCCCGAUUGAGUAUAACGAAGAAUAUACAAAACGUCCCUCCGAUAUAACCCAUACCUGGCACCCUCCUAGAAGCACGCUCUGGUCGAGUAUAACUUGAAGUAUCCCAACAACUCAUCAACCCCACCAAUGGCUGGCCACUAGACCUAACCACGAACAAGACGUAGGUGGACGGCCGAUCAAUGGCAGCUCAAUGUGUGGCCUUAGGCACCCCUACCCUCCACCCCCUCCUCACGUAGAGUAACUUUCCCCAGGAGGACCAAUGCCCAAUAAGGGUUACCCCCCUAAAGAUCACUUCAUCAUGAGGAUCACUUGUCCAUGACAACCGCUUCCUCGUGAGGAUCAACACCCCAUAAGGACCGCUGCUUCACGUGGGUCACGACCCAAUGAGGAUCACUGCUCAAUAAGGACUCCAGGUAUAGUUCAAUACUACGGGAUCACCUCACUCAGGAUUACUUCCUUGUGUGGAUCACUUCCCCCAAGAGGACUCCCCCUCCCCAGGUGGACACAUCUCGCAGGUCGAGGCCACCACUAGUCACUAUAAGAUUGUUGUUUGUGCCAUCCUGCACUCCACCGUAAUAACACAUACAUGUCUGCAUAAAA
rnacentral:misc_RNA from 1 species